rnacentral:rRNA from 1 species
GUGGCGAACGGGUGAGUAACACGUGAGUAACCUGCCCCUGACUCUGGGAUAAGCGUUGGAAACGACGUCUAAUACUGGAUAUGACUGCCGGCCGCAUGGUCUGGUGGUGGAAAGAUUUUUUGGUUGGGGAUGGACUCGCGGCCUAUCAGCUUGUUGGUGAGGUAAUGGCUCACCAAGGCGACGACGGGUAGCCGGCCUGAGAGGGUGACCGGCCACACUGGGACUGAGACACGGCCCAGACUCCUACGGGAGGCAGCAGUGGGGAAUAUUGCACAAUGGGCGAAAGCCUGAUGCAGCAACGCCGCGUGAGGGAUGACGGCCUUCGGGUUGUAAACCUCUUUUAGUAGGGAAGAAGCGAAAGUGACGGUACCUGCAGAAAAAGCACCGGCUAACUACGUGCCAGCAGCCGCGGUAAUACGUAGGGUGCAAGCGUUGUCCGGAAUUAUUGGGCGUAAAGAGCUCGUAGGCGGUUUGUCGCGUCUGCUGUGAAAUCCCGAGGCUCAACCUCGGGCUUGCAGUGGGUACGGGCAGACUAGAGUGCGGUAGGGGAGAUUGGAAUUCCUGGUGUAGCGGUGGAAUGCGCAGAUAUCAGGAGGAACACCGAUGGCGAAGGCAGAUCUCUGGGCCGUAACUGACGCUGAGGAGCGAAAGCAUGGGGAGCGAACAGGAUUAGAUACCCUGGUAGUCCAUGCCGUAAACGUUGGGCGCUAGAUGUAGGG